GUUGACCUCGGAUCAGGUAGGGAUACCCGCUGAACUUAAGCAUAUCAAUAAGCGGAGGAAAAGAAACCAACAGGGAUUGCCCUAGUAACGGCGAGUGAAGCGGCAACAGCUCAAAUUUGAAAUCUGGCGCAAGCCCGAGUUGUAAUUUGUAGAGGAUGCUUCUGGGUAGCGGCCGGUCUAAGUUCCUUGGAACAGGACGUCAUAGAGGGUGAGAAUCCCGUAUGUGACUGGCUUGCACCCUCCACGUAGCUCCUUCGACGAGUCGAGUUGUUUGGGAAUGCAGCUCUAAAUGGGAGGUAAAUUUCUUCUAAAGCUAAAUACCGGCCAGAGACCGAUAGCGCACAAGUAGAGUGAUCGAAAGAUGAAAAGCACUUUGGAAAGAGAGUUAAAAAGCACGUGAAAUUGUUGAAAGGGAAGCGCCCGCAACCAGACUUUGCGGCAGUGUUCGGCCGGUCUUCUGACCGGUUUACUCGCUGUCGUGAGGCCAUCAUCGUCUGGGACCGCUGGAUAAGACCUUAGGAAUGUGGCUCCCCUCGGGGAGUGUUAUAGCCUCUGGUGAUGCAGCGCGUCUCGGGCGAGGUCCGCGCUUCGGCAAGGAUGAUGGCGUAAUGGUUGUCGGCGGCCCGUCUUGAAACACGGACCAAGGAGUCUAACAUCUAUGCGAGUGUUCGGGUGUCAAACCCCUACGCGUAAUGAAAGUGAACGGAGGUGGGAACUUUUUGUGCACCAUCGACCGAUCCUGAUGUCCUCGGAUGGAUUUGAGUAAGAGCAUAGCUGUUGGGACCCGAAAGAUGGUGAACUAUGCCUGAAUAGGGUGAAGCCAGAGGAAACUCUGGUGGAGGCUCGCAGCGGUUCUGACGUGCAAAUCGAUCGUCAAAUUUGGGUAUAGGGGCGAAAGACUAAUCGAACCAUCUAGUAGCUGGUUCCUGCCGA
rnacentral:rRNA from 1 species